CCUACGGGUGGCAGCAGUGGGGAAUAUUGGGCAAUGGGCGCAAGCCUGACCCAGCAACGCCGCGUGAAGGAAGAAGGCUUUCGGGUUGUACACUUCUUUUGGCAGGGAAGAGGAGAAGACGGUACCUGACGAAUAAGCCACGGCUAACUACGUGCCAGCAGCCGCGGUAAUACGGAGGUGGCAAGCGUGGUCCGGAUUUACUGGGUGGAAAGGGCGUGUAGCCGGGUUGACAAGUCAGAUGUGAAAUCCUGCGGCUUAACCGCAGAACUGCAUUUGAAACUGUUGAUCUUGAGUACUGGAGAGGCAGCCGGACUUCCUAGUGUAGCGGUUACCUGCGUAGAUAUUAGG
rnacentral:rRNA from 1 species